CAUUUAAAUUUGAGUUUUAGGUAAACAAUGAAUAACCCUUUAGUAUAAGUGUGUCCCAGGAAAUAUUUGGGACAUACUUAUACUAAAAAAAUUUUGUUAGUUAAAUUCAAGUUUAUCU
rnacentral:miRNA from 1 species